AUAAUACUCCCUCCAUCCCGAAAUUCUUGUCUUGGAUUUGUCUAGAUAUGAAUGUAUCUAGUCACGUUUUAGUAUUUUGAUACAUCCAUUUUUAGACAAAUCUAAGACAAGAAUUUUGAGACAGAGGGAGUAGUAA
rnacentral:pre_miRNA from 1 species